AGGAAUAUAGUUCAGUGGUAGAGCACUUUCCUAGCAUGCAUGAGGAUCUAGGUUCAAUUCCCAGUGUUGCAA
rfam:Cricetulus griseus cell line CHO-K1, whole genome shotgun sequence.